rnacentral:lncRNA from 1 species
GAACUUUCGAGCUCCGUACGUUCACCUAUCUUUGUCAGUUGAGUGGUGGAGACAAUAGCAGUGUUCUGUGGGCCUUUCACGUGGGUGUAAAUGACUACACUAAGGACAAAGUUCUGAAGAAUUAGUGUGGCGUAAAAGGGCUAGUCAACAGCCUGAAAACGGGCAGUUGAGGGAAAUUUCUGUCUGCAAUCAAUCUCCUCACUGCAGGAGGAGUCCUGGAUAUCCUUACAUGUGCAAUAAAGAUGGCUGAAUUCAGUGAGCACUGCCUGACCAGCAUAACAAUUCCUUAGUGAUUUAUGGCAGAUUGAGAGAGCAAGGAUUUAGGAUUACAUCUAGGAGAUCUGCGCGGCCAAGGAUAUGACUGUCUUGCAUUGAGAAUAAAAGACCUACUUGAAGCUUCCUCUCCUCCAGCCUCACCCAGGCAGCCCUGGCCGGGGCAGGGUGACCAGCUGUGACCCCCGGGAGGGCUGGCUGACCCACCGCUGCCAAGAGACCUCCCCAGGCCUGAACCCGCUGCCUCUCCCUCCACAGCGUGCCGGUUUGGGGCCAGCUCUUUGCUCAGCUUAUUUAAAAAUCUAGAGAAAAGAGUUCUGCCCCAUCAGCUUCAGAAAGAGAUGUUUAACAUGGUAGAGAACAAGCCGAGCCUGAGUUACCCAAGACAACUAAUUCCCUUAGCAGAAAGAGUGUCUUCUGUCAUCAAAAAGAGCCAUCUGGAAGAGCCUUGGCUCCCUGCCAAGAACAACCCCUGAACAACUGCUUGUCG